rnacentral:tRNA from 1 species
AUAUAUAUAGUAUAAAUAAUUAUAUUUAAUUUCCAAUUAAAAGAUUUAAAAAUUAAUAUAUAUA